rnacentral:rRNA from 1 species
UACGAAGGGGGCUAGCGUUGCUCGGAAUCACUGGGCGUAAAGCGCACGUAGGCGGAUCUUUAAGUCAGGGGUGAAAUCCUGGAGCUCAACUCCAGAACUGCCUUUGAUACUGGGGAUCUCGAGUCCGGGAGAGGUGAGUGGAACUCCGAGUGUAGAGGUGAAAUUCGUAGAUAUCGGGAGGAACACCAGUGGCGAAGGCGGCGAUCUGGGCAGAUACUGACGCUGAGGUGCGAAAGCGUGGGGAGCAAACAGG